AUGUUGCUGAGAAGCAAACAGAGAUGAGUUAAGCUGGAAUUCUUCAUUUUCUUAAUUUCCCUGCCCAAAGCGUGACAGGACCUGAAAAACUGCUGGGUUUCAGAUUGGGUUCAAGAUCAGAUCCACAUUUUCACACUGAGGACAACUAAGGGAAUCAUACACCGCUAUUACAAAACGGGAAAACAUUUACUGAUGCUCCAGAAAGCAAAACAAUGCAUUAAGAGCCAGGGGAUGUAAACUUUUGAACAGAACGAUGAUGAUAUGUAAAUUCCUUUAAUUUUGUUUAACGAUCAUAUUUUUUAAUUUAGUACUGCACUUUAAAAGCUCCAUAAAUACUUACAUGUUUCCCAGAAGACAAAAUAAGGACAAUUUACACUGAUCAUCCAAUUAAAAAAGUGUACACCCC